UACGGAGGAUCCAAGCGUUGUCCGGAUUUAUUGGGUUUAAAGGGUGCGUAGGCGGAAUAAUAAGUCAGAGGUGAAAGCCGGUAGCUCAACUAUCGAAUUGCCUUUGAAACUGUUAAUCUUGAGUAUUGUUGAGGUAGGCGGAAUGUAUCAUGUAGCGGUGAAAUGCUUAGAUAUGAUACAGAACACCGAUUGCGAAGGCAGCUUACUAAACAAAAACUGACGCUGAGGCACGAAAGCGUGGGGAUCAAACAGG
rnacentral:rRNA from 1 species